GGUCCAGGCAUCGAAGCCGCGCCCCCACAAUGUGGCUGAGUGACAACAUAUACGAGCCCAUCAACGUGCCGGUGCCAGUGAGCAAGCCCCGCCAAGUGUUCUGAUUGACAGCGACGCCCCGCCCACCCGUGCACUGUGAGGCUGAGCGGCAGCGCUGCAAUGUAUCUGGACACGGGGUAUGGCGGUGCUGCUGCUGCUGCUGCUGCUGCCGCCGCUGCCGGGGACUCAGCGACAGUCUCACAGCAGCACAGAUCCGGUGACAUUCACGGAUGAGCAGUUGAAAAAGAAAAGGUCAAGCAUGUGCAGUUACAACGGAGACUCUGGACAUGAACAUCAACAUCUUAAUUUCCUAUUGAUACACCAUGUCUCUACAAUCAUUUCAAGAAGAUAAAUUGAUUAAAGUAAUUUGUCGACUAGUGACCAAACCCUUAGCUUGACUUUGCAGUUUGGUUCAGUCUUUGUGAUUGGAUGCAACUUACCACGUGACCUGCAUACUUGGAGUGUACUUAUUUAGUUUUGCUGUAUAUUAUGGACAGGUUGAAGAUAAAGAACUUGGGGUUACCAGAAAACCGAUGUAAAUACAGACACACAUGAUAUGCACUUGCUAUACUGCAUGUCUGUACUCUGAUUUGUGCACAUGUGCUGUAGUCCAUCAAUUUUGCUGCUGCUGCCCAGUCCCAAGGAGGAGCCACUGGAAAAUAAAAGUUAUCAAGAGGCAGAUAAGGCAGCCCACCACCUGCUCUGCCUGGAAUAGAGACUGCAGAGCUAGACUUGAAGACUGCGGAGUACAGACAGGAUCUGUGUGAAAAUCUGAGGUAGUUUUAGGACCAAUUUCAGCAGAAAUCUAGAAAAUUCUGAAGGGUUCACAAACUUUCAAGCACUGCUAAUGUGCCAGGAGGAGGAGGUGUACAAGGAGCACCAAUAGGAGAUCCCAAAGAUGCUACAUAGACCCAAAUAUUUUGGGGGAAUGAUAAAUCUGAAAGCAUUACCUGAUGUUGCGGUGAUCCAGAUAUUAAGGCUAAACAAAUAAAAUUUAUUCAAAUUGCAUGAACAA